CACUACAUAAUCAUUUAUUAUCUUUACAAUUAACCAUCUAAAGCUACCACAGUUCUUCAAUCAAAGUAUAUAUCUACAUAUAUAGAGAGUACACUUUAUAAUUUCGUCUCUUGUCUUCCGUAAACGUAGCACGAAAAUUUGAGACCCAGUAUUGUAAGACAGGUCGUAGAAGCAGUCUUCCUGCACAUAUUUAAAAAUAAUAGUAAAUUAGAAAAAUAAAGCAAAUAGGUCACCAGAGACUUAGUGCCAAAAUCAAUACACGAAGACAACAAUGUUAUGUUAUUUUCUUACUAAUUAAGGGACAUGAAAGAAGGUAAUACUCUUUUUAUUGACUACCAAAUUAAUAUCUAAAUCAAAUAUCCUGAAGAAAGAAAAAAAAAAAGAGGAAUCUUUGCUUUCUCCAGUAGUCCUUUAAAUCCAUUGCUUCAUUUUUCUUCUUCUUUGUGCUUAAUAAUAGUCCAUUGUAUUGAAAGAUAACAACUACCCAUCUCCUUAAAACAGAGAAAAAAGAGAUUGAAAUUUACAAGAAGGGGAAAUCAACAGUUAUUUUUUUCCCUUUUGACAAGACCUAAAACAAAUUCCCACUCUACAUAAAUGAAAAGACCUUUUUCAGCAGUACUUACAAUCAAAAGCAAAAUAACUAAUGAAUACUAGUAAUAACUAAUUUCAGCAACACCCCAACAAGUAAAAUACCCCAAAUGCUUUUAAAACCCAAAGCUGUCAUUUUCUUUAAUCAAAGAAAAUGGCUCAUACACAGUUCUUUAUGUGCUCUCACUGAAACUUAUGCAUACCUAAAACUAAAGGUUUCUUAAUAUUAGUAGUAAAUUAACUCGGUACAGGAAAGUCAGAUUUGACAUAUAUACCCUCAUUUGCAAGAGCAUGAAGCAAUGUUAUUUAACAUGGAAUGCAAAUUGAAAUUUGAAGGCUGAAAAAUUUGAAAGAGUGGUAAACAUGGGGGACCCACGAUUAGACCCACUCUUAACAACAAAUACAUGACUAUUGUUCAUCUUCUCCAAAAUCUUGACAUUUUGACCAUCCCCAUGCAAACCCAUAUCCAGAUCAGGUAUGAUGAAAACCAAGGGGCUUAGUGCCAUAUUUACAUUAAAUAAGAGCCUCUUGCAGUUGGGAGAUAUUUGUUAUAAUAAAAGAAGAAGAAAAAUUAAACAAGGCAAUGGUAUUAAACCUUUCUACAUUGGCUAGAUUGGAUUCAUUAAUACCUCACAAGAGCUUAACAUUAUGAGCAUCAAAAUAGCCCAAACAUGCAACCAACACUGCCAGGCUAGCCUCAGCUACUGCAGCGCAGUGCGGGAGGCAGCAAGCAGCGCAGCGCGGGAGGCAGCGCGCGUGCGCAGCUGCUACAACCUGCCCUGCUGCGGCUCACUUCCAGCGGCCUACUUCGCCAAUUUUUAGUUUUCAAACCACAUGUCCAAUUGCAAUAAAACUUAAGCAUGUUAGAGAAGGUAUGUAAUAAUAUAUUUAAAAAAUACAACUCAUCUAAUUUGGACAUUUUAGACCAGUCCAACAGAGCCACCAAACUGCUCUGUUGAGACAGUUUUUAGAUCGAGCGUUAACAUGUUAUUCAUUCCAAAACAGUUUUCUAAUCCCAUUAGGCCUACAAAAACAACUUAAUAUACUUAAUAUAACAUAUAUAAAGAGUUCUUGAUCACUACAUUAAAUAAAAAAACAAACAUAGCACAACUGAUUCCAAUAUAGAAUCAACUCAAGUAUUCCAAAUAUGCUACAAGAUCAUAUAAUUUAAGUCCGGUUAUAAGUUCCAUUACAGUUAAACUGUUUUAAAAUGUAAGUAGUUCCUUCAAGUUAUUUAAUGAAAGAAUAUUUGUAAUAAUAUUAUUUUUUGCACAUGAUCAUUUCCUACAAAACUCACCACCAAAGACACUCAAACACUAAUGUUGACGCCUGUUAAAAUAGGCACAAAUCCCCCAUCCAAGCAAUUCAUAAAUAAAGAAAGACGAGACCCAAGUGAUGUGAGCUGCAGAAAACUCAACCAUAAUGCAGUGACAGAGAACAUCUUUUGCAAAAUUUAAUCUUAAAGAAUACUGAUAAGUAAGCUAAAUGUGUAGCAAGUGACUAUGACAAACCUGAUCAAGAGAAAACUCGUGAUUGAAAAUGUCAAGUAGAAAUUUACAUCAAAAUGAAUCAUUGGAUAAUUUAUAAGUUGGGGUGGUUCCACAAAGCUGAGUGGACACCAUGACCAAUAAAAAAUAGAAUAUUUGUCUAGAUGUUUUGGUUUGCAAAUAUUCUUAGAGACCACCAUAUUUUUCUUCUACAAAUACCAUUCCUGCUAGCUGAUAUGUACCUUAAUUUGAACACAUACAAAAAUUGCCUCGAGCCAUGGCAAGCCAAUCCCCUCACAUUCGAUGCCUUUUCUUUCUCAGUCUCUCCUGGUUUUUGCUCAUUACCCACACUGAAUAUACUGACCCAAGCCAAAAGGUAAGAACUCCACCAACAUUGGUUUUCCAGCAAAAAUUCAACAAUUACCUCAAUGCUAAUUAAUGAUUACUGCAUUACAUACGUUCUACAAAAAGUAGUCUCAUUUUAUAAAUUUGUUUUGUCGGAUAAGAAGAGUUCACUUUUUAGUAGUAAUAGUGUAAAAUAAUACAAUAUUCUUAAAUUAAUUAUUAUAAUUUCGUUAUUAUAUCACAUUGCUAAACCUAACAUUUUAUUAUUUUUAUUAUUUUUAGGAGUAUGUAUAAAAUAUAUAUAUACACUAGUAAAUUAAUUCGUAGAUUUUGAAAAUGGACUACUUUUCUAGAACAGAGCAACUAUACCAAUUAGUUUAAAAUUUUCUUGAUAACAUUAAGGCAAAAAAUUUGGCUUUAAUGUCUGCAUAUUCACAAAGUUAAACAUCUUGAUAUAGUAUUGGCAAUAUAUAUAUAUAUAUAUAUAUAUAUAUAUAUAUAUAUAUAUAUAUAUAUAUAUAUAUAUAUAUAUAGUAAUAAUUGGUAUAGGACUGGAGUUUACUUUUGGACUAGUUAGUGAUUAAUGAAUUCUAUUAUGUAUUGUGAUAAUUUUGAAUGAAUUAUAAUUGCGAAAUAUAGCAGCAUAUGAGUUUUAAUAGAAUUAUAAGAGUGACUCACCUCUUACAUAUCUUUUCAAGAAGAGUUGCCACUAGUUCUUAUUAUUUAUAACUUACGACCAAAAAUUUGACACAAACAUCUGCAAACUACAUUUUCCAAUUUGUAAAAGCCAUAGAUUUUGAUAUUUGACAAAUGAUAACAGCAACGCAGCAUGUGCACAGAGCAAUAGACGGGCUAAAAUGGAUGGUCAAGUAUGGGAAAUAACAUGAAUAUUGAUGAACUGACAUUUUUAGAACAUGCUUAAAACAUCAAACAAAAUAUAUCAAAAGGUAGGCCAAUUGCUAAUAAAGGUAAUCAAGUUUUGAACUCUCACAAGGAACUCUCAUUAGACAAUUUGUGAUGUAUAUUGAAAAUCAUAAACCCUUAAAGAUUAAUUAAAACACACAUACCAAAUAUCAAAGCAAUACAGGACAAACUGAUUUAUGUUCAAGAAUUUGGACCUAAAAGACUCACCAUAUGUGCAUACGAACACACAGACACAAUUAAUUGACAAUGGGUGUGUGUAUAUUCUGUGUAUGUAUGUGUGUGAUAAUGUGUGUGUGAAUGAGUAUAACAGUGGGUGGGUGUAUGUGUGUGAGUAUAAUAUGUAGUGGGUGUGAGAGUAACUUACCAAACAACCAAAUCAAAUCCAAAUCAAGCCUCCUCCGUUCGCCUCCUCAUGCCCAAAUUAAAAGGUUAAGGUGUGGCUUAUAUAGUCCCCUUUUUUUUUUGCUUGAAAGUCACCAUCCUCUACAAAUCACAAGAUGCCCACCCAAUCUUUUUGCCCUAAAAUAUUCAUGUUGAGGGAGUUAGUUUUUCCUUUACAUAUACCUGUAUAGGAAAUUGAGUUAUUCCCUAUGUAUAUAUCUUAAAUUAAUAUGAUACAACAGUACCCUAUUACUGCAAGUAAUCAAAGUUAAUUCCUUACUCAAAAUAUACUAGAGAACAUGUUUAAAAAGCUAUAUAUUAAAAGUAUUGAUAAUUUUACAUAUAUUGAGUUCUUAGAGUAAAAAUCAAUAGACAAUAUACGCAACGGUAGAUUCCUCAAAAAUUAUAGCAAUAAUUUCACACCAUCUUCAUGUAAAUCAGUCUUAAGACAUCAAAAUAUUCUCUACAUAUUAACUGAUUUCUCAAUAAAAAAUUAGGGCAAAUAAUUUUUGAAGUGAAGCAAAACCAAUUAAUAUAACAAAAGAAAUUACUCAGUAGAAAACUACUUACACAAAUAUAUUAACAGAAUACAAUAUAAAAAUCAAUGAUGACAAAGCAGAGAUUGAUUCGGUGAUUCCCGUUUUUGAAGAAGAUGGAGAUGAUUUAGAGACAAUGGAGAGUCGGAGAGCGAGAAAGAAGAUGGAGAUAGAGAGAGUCGAUGAUCAUAAUGGCCACAAUGAUGAGGUAGAGAGUCGAUGGCGAUUAUGAACAUUAAGCAGUGGAGACGACUAACGAGACUGGAGACUGGAGACUGGAGAGAAACAGAGAGUAGCUAGAGAGUAGAGACGAUGGCUGAGUUUUGAUUUGGGAAUAAAUGGAUAAACGUUGAACCCACUCA
rnacentral:lncRNA from 1 species